rnacentral:rRNA from 1 species
CAACAGGGAUUGCCUUAGUAACUGCNAGUGAAGCGGCAAAAGCUCAAAUUUGAAAUCUGGCGUCUUCGACGUCCGANUUGUAAUUUGGAGGGAUAUCUUCGGGGAUGGCGCCGUCCUAANUUCCUUGGAACAGGACNUCAUANAGGGUGAGAAUCCCGUGCCUGGAUGGCUGUCCAUCUCCAUGUGAANUGUCUCCGACNANUCNAGUUGUUUGGGAAUGCANCUCAAAAUGGGUGGUAAAUUUCAUCUAAAGCUAAAUAUUGGCGANAGACCGAUAGCGCACAAUUAGAGUGAUCGAAANAUGAAAANCACUUUGAAAAGAAAGUUAAAAANUACNUGAAAUUGUUGAAAGGGAAGCGCUUGCNACCAGACUCGAUCUUUGGUGAUCAGCCGGGCUUCUGUCCGGUGCACUUGCCACUGAUCGGGCCAGCAUCGGUUCUGANGGCGGGAUAAAAGGUUGGGGAAUGUACCUUCUCUCGGGGAAUGUUAUACCCCAGUCAUAAUGCCCCAUCGGGACCNAGGACCGCCCUNCGCUANGAUCUGGCGUAUGGUCU